ACCCGCUGAACUUAAGCAUAUCAAUAAGCGGAGGAAAAGAAACCAACAGGGAUUGCCCUAGUAACGGCGAGUGAAGCGGCAACAGCUCAAAUUUGAAAUCUGGCGUCUUUGGCGUCCGAGUUGUAAUUUGCAGAGGGCGCUUUGGCAUUGGCAGCGGUCCAAGUUCCUUGGAACAGGACGUCACAGAGGGUGAGAAUCCCGUACGUGGUCGCUAGCCUUUACCGUGCAAAGCCCCUUCGACGAGUCGAGUUGUUUGGGAAUGCAGCUCUAAAUGGGAGGUAAAUUUCUUCUAAAGCUAAAUACUGGCCAGAGACCGAUAGCGCACAAGUAGAGUGAUCGAAAGAUGAAAAGCACUUUGGAAAGAGAGUUAAAAAGCACGUGAAAUUGUUGAAAGGGAAGCGCUUGCAGCCAGACUUGCCUGUAGUUGCUCAUCCGGGUUUUUACCCGGUGCACUCUUCUAUAGGCAGGCCAGCAUCAGUUUGGGCGGUUGGAUAAAGGUCUCUGUCAUGUACCUCUCUUCGGGGAGAACUUAUAGGGGAGACGACAUGCAACCAGCCCGGACUGAGGUCCGCGCAUCUGCUAGGAUGCUGGCGUAAUGGCUGU
rnacentral:rRNA from 1 species